AUUGAACGCUGGCGGCAGGCCUAACACAUGCAAGUCGAACGAGUGGCGGACGGGUGAGUAAUGUCUGGGAAACUGCCUGAUGGAGGGGGAUAACUACUGGAAACGUUAGCUAAUACCGCAUACCAUCGGAUGUGCCCAGAUGGGAUUGGCUAGUAGGUGGGGUAAAGGCUCACCUAGGCCACGAUCCCUAGCUGGGCCGAGAGGAUGACCAGCAACACUGGAACGGGGACACGGUCCAGACUCCUACGGGAGGCAGCAGUGGGGAAUAUUGGACAAUGGGCGCAAGCCUGAUGCAGCCAGGCCGCGUGUAUGAAGAAGGCCUUCGGGUUGUAAAGUACUUUCAGCGGGGAGGCGUUACCCGCAGAAGAAGCACCGGCUAACUCCGUGCCAGCAGCCGCGGUAAUAC
rnacentral:rRNA from 1 species